GGUCUCACGACUGUCCUCGCGCAAGCACCCUCCCGCGGCCUGUCCUGUUGUCCGACAGCCUCGACCUGUGUGUUGGAAGGUGGUGCCGAGGGGCAGCCCAAGACCCAGGCAGGAAGGGCGCUUCGACAGACGCUGGCUGUUUACUUCCAAAGAUGGUUUAUCAGUGCUUCCGUAAAACAUCUUGAGUCAGGGUCCGACAGACAGUAACUCCUCGUCUGCUACUACAAGAGAUGCUAUGUGGUUAUAGAAAUAUAUAAAUAACCGAGAGCUAUUCAUUCUACGGUGUGUUUUUUCUCUGCAAUAUGGGUAAAUAACCUACACACGCAAGCGGAUGUAGUAUGCACUUGAAAGCAGCAUCGUUUAGCAGAACAUAACGUCAGAAAUUAAUCACUAUUCCAUCUUUAAGAUCUCACACUAGAUGGAGCUCAAAAAACCCUGUACAUGAACCCUCUUUUUAUUCCG